GUACCCUUAGAUAAGACUUGAGUAGAAUGAUCCCAAUGUUUCUUCCAGUUAUCACACAUUCUUUUUUUAAGACAACUAUGAAUAUCUGUGAAAGGAAUUCCAACUUCAAAAUAUGGGACAGAACCCACACUAUAAUUUGUUAUCAUGGUUGCUAAAUGGUCAGCUUUUUCAUUGCCCAAUAUGCCAAUGUGGGAUGGAACCCAAACUAGUACAAUAUUUACAUGACAAACUACAUUCAAAUAAUACAAAAGUUGUUUUAUACUAUACACUAAAUAAUUUACAUUUGUUUUAUUUACAUUAUUUUCAAGACUUUUUAAUAGGCUCAUACAAUCAGUGGCAAUAACCCACUUUGAACAAGUAUUUUUAUGCUUAUCUAUAUGUUGCAAUGCAGACAGAACUGCAACAGCUUCAGCAGAAUAUAUGCUCAAGUUGUUAUCAAGUUUAUAUCCAAGUCCAUCUUUCAGGACACUAUCAUAAACAGCAAAAUAUGUGCAUAUAUCAUUUUUAGCCCCAUCUGUAUAAAUGAAUCUAUGAUCUCGCCAAGAAAAAAAUUUUUCAUAUACUUGUUCUUUUCUAUGUAAUUCAGAAUCUAUUACUAUAUUUAUAUCAGGGUAUUUACUUUCAAAUUCACCUUGAUAACAAGGAAAAUGGGAUUCAUUUCGCUGAAUAUGUGCAUCAUGAAGAAAUUGAAGAAACCCAGAUAUAUUUUCAAGAACAAAUGGACAUUUAUUGAAGAAAGUAGAAGAAGCAGAUGACAAAUAAUUAAGAUAAUGAAGUUGUGAAUAAAACACCAAGAAACUUAGCCUCUAACGACAGAACCAAUGGUAUACCUAAACCACACAGUUCUUUGAAGAGGACAUCAAUAUCAACACUGUUAAAUGCUCCAGAAAUAUCAAAAAAUACAGCAACAAGACAAUCUUUAUUUACAACACUAUUACAAAUAUCUAAAUGCAAUUGACAGAAGCUUUCAUGUGCAGAUUUACCUUUACGAAAACCAUACUGAUUGUCAGAUAUUAAAUUAUAUUUUUCAACAAAAAAUUCCAAUCUUUGUUUUAACAACUGUUCAAAAAGUUUACCCACGCAUGAAGUGAGAGUUAUUGGGCGAUAAGAAUUAGCAUUGUAUUUAGGUUUUUGAGGUUUUAAUACAGAUCAAAGACAAUGGUGUUGAGCGAUUGAAUGAUUCACAAAGACGGACCCAACUGUUAUGUUUUUCUAUUUUUAAUAUUUUACAACAGCAUCAAAGCAUUUCAAAUUCCACCAAGGUAGUCUAGGUCGUGGAAUAGGACCUUUACGAGAUGAUAUAUUUUGUUUACUACGAGAAACGCCACUACAAGCCUGAGCUGAAUCGACCAAUAAUUUACAGAAUAUAUCGUAACUUUCUAAAGAUGAAUAUUGGCUGAAAUUUAUUUUUUGAAGACCAACAUCUACACGAUUUUUAUAAGAAUUCCAAUCGACACAUUUGUAAUUUGGAUAAACAGGAAGAGUUGUAUGAAGUGUGUUGUGGAUAUCAGUUGCAGUUGUUAAAUGGAAUUUAAUUAAUACUGGAAGAUGAUAGCUGCCGAGAGGAUCGUUAUGUACAGACCAUUCACAAGACAUGGCAAGUUCUGGAGAAACUAUUGUAAGGUCUAAUGCAUUUGGACGCCAUGAUGAAGAUCCAACAGUAGUAACCUGCCCAUCAUUCAACAGAACUAGACAAUUAUCAUUGAUGACGUCUAAAAUCUCUCUACCACGACGUGAUGUUGAAUUACAACCCCAAGAUGUAUUGUGAGCAUUGAAAUCACCGGCCAAAAUAAAAGGAUGUGGAAUAGAUUUUAUGAGAUUAUCUAAUUUAGUUUUAUCGAAUCUGGGAUAACUAUAAGUAGGACAGUAACAACUAAUUAAACUUAAUUCUUUAUUAUUAAGAAAAAUUGUCACACAUAUGUUUUGGAGACCAUUGUCUGAAAAAGUUGGCAAAUGCUUGUACUGAAUAGUAUCUUUGAUUAAAAUGGCCACUCCAUUGUGCUUAUUGCCUGAAUCAUGUCUAACAACGUUAAAACCUUUAAUUUUGAAAACGGUUUCUGGACGAAGCCAAGUUUCACAUAUAAUUGCUAAAUGAAUAUCUUGCUCGUAUAAGAAAUGUGUUAAAUAUAAUCUAUUGCAAAGAAUACUUUGUGAGUUCCAUUGUAAUAUAUUUAAAUGAUCCAUUAAGAAGGAAAUAAGGUUUUUUGACUGAAAGUUUCAAGCAGGAUGUUACGUAUGGAACCAGUGUUAAUUGGUAUAUCAUUUUUUUGGUCAUUAAUUACUUUAAGAAUUGAUUUGGUUAAAAGAUUCAUAAAAAUUUCGGACUUAGUUAAGUUUUGUAAUUGAGUUUCUAUAUGUCUGUUCGUAAGUUGUGGAAAAGAUUUUUCGUCAAAUAUAUUUGCAUAGGUAACAGUUUUA